GGGGGAAUAUUGCACAAUGGGCGCAAGCCUGAUGCAGCCAUGCCGCGUGUAUGAAGAAGGCCUUCGGGUUGUAAAGUACUUUCAGUCGGGAGGAAGGUGGUAAGGUUAAUAACCUUAUCAAUUGACGUUACCGACAGAAGAAGCACCGGCUAACUCCGUGCCAGCAGCCGCGGUAAUACGGAGGGUGCAAGCGUUAAUCGGAAUUACUGGGCGUAAAGCGCACGCAGGCGGUUGAUUGAGUCAGAUGUGAAAUCCCCGGGCUUAACCCGGGAAUUGCAUCUGAUACUGGUCAGCUAGAGUCUUGUAGAGGGGGGUAGAAUUCCAUGUGUAGCGGUGAAAUGCGUAGAGAUGUGGAGGAAUACCGGUGGCGAAGGCGGCCCCCUGGACAAAGACUGACGCUCAGGUGCGAAAGCGUGGGGAGCAAACAGG
rnacentral:rRNA from 1 species